UAAAGGAAGCGAUUCCGGCUACGGAUGGUCAUGCGUCGCAUUAGCUAGUUGGCGGGGUAACGGCCCACCAAGGCGACGAUGCGUAGGGGUUCUGAGAGGAAGGUCCCCCACACUGGUACUGAGACACGGACCAGACUCCUACGGGAGGCAGCAGUGAGGAAUAUUGGUCAAUGGCCGCAGGGCUGAACCAGCCAAGUCGCGUGAGGGAUGACGGUCCUAUGGAUUGUAAACCUCUUUUGUCAGGGAGCAAAGGACGCCACGUGUGGCGUUUUGCGAGUACCUGAAGAAAAAGCAUCGGCUAACUCCGUGCCAGCAGCCGCGGUAAUACGGAGGAUGCGAGCGUUAUCCGGAUUUAUUGGGUUUAAAGGGUGCGCAGGCGGAAUGUCAAGUCAGCGGUAAAAUUUCGGGGCUCAACCCCGUCGUGCCGUUGAAACUGGCGUUCUUGAGUGAGCGAGAAGUAUGCGGAAUGCGUGGUGUAGCGGUGAAAUGCAUAGAUAUCACGCAGAACUCCGAUUGCGAAGGCAGCAUACCGGCGCUCAACUGACGCUCAUGCACGAAAGCGUGGGUAUCGAACAGGAUUAGAUACCCUGGUAGUCCACGCAGUAAACGAUGAAUACUAACUGUCCGGGC
rnacentral:rRNA from 1 species